ACAGCAGUGUUACAGGUGUGGGGAUAAUAUGUAAGACUGCAGUGAAGCGAUGUACCAGAUUAAUCCCUGGCCAAAGAACAGUUCUCCACAGUCACUGUCCACAUGGGUCAGUGGGACCAAGCAGCACUCUGCUAAUGUGGGACUCUGACCAGCAACAUCCAGCAAGACCCAGGCAGCGUUUUCCAUCUCCCAGCUGGAGUUUUUUUGUUUGUCUGUGACGGGAGAGUCAGAUUUUUGUUGAGGCUGGAGGAACAGCCUUACACUUGCAGAGGUUAAUACACGCCACUGAUCCCUGAUGGGAGAAUCAUCACCUCUGCCAACAAAGAAGCCUGGUGGAUAUUUGUUUACAGUCUGAUGAUGGGACAUCAUGCUCUGCAUCUUCAAAGUUUGUCUCUUGCUUAUUAUUGAUACACAGUAAUGUGAAGCAUGCUUAUAUCUAGUAUAACUCGACCAACCUGGUGCUCUUCAUUUAUGGAGGCUGUUGAGUCUGAAUGUUGGAUGUUGUGUAUCUCGUGUUCUCUGGGCUUUGUUGUCCUCAGUCUGUUUGCAGGAUCAGAAAACAAAACCAGGAGACCUGUAAAUGGUUCUUCUCCAAUUGGAUGAUGAUAAGACUGUGACACGGGAUGCCACCUUUAGUCUUGUGAUGAAGCAAAGCUCAGGAAGAAGUGUGAUUAAAUGGUACCCACAUGUGUGCUGCUGAGAAGGAUGUACAGGGGCACCUGCAGCCAAAUCCAAGCCUCCUCAGCAACUUCAGGUCUGUCAGCGUGCUGAGGUCACAGAAACAAGAAAAGCAGCUUCAGACUUCAGAGUGUUGUUUACAGUUUUCUGUCAUCAUGAUCUCCCCUGAAGUUUAUCACUAUUAGGCAAGCAAGCAGAGCAGCAGUUUGUGCUCACAGAUGGAGACGGUGUGGAGAGACGGUGGUGUUUCCUCAGAAGAACAAGCAGAGUCACAAAGGGCACCAGUCUAUCUCACCACCUUGACUUGCUGACUGAUGCUCGUCUGCACUGCACAGAGGAAAUCAGCUGACCGAGGAGUGUUUCUGAGUGAGGGAGAGAGGAGUCAUCAUCCAGGUAAAGUGACGUGGAUCAGUGGAUACUUGUCUCCCCUUUAAAGGAGAUACUCUUAGAGAGAGACGAUCCAAGUCAUCCUUAAAUAUGGGCAGGAUAUCACUAUUGGACUGUCUAACCUGCAGGAGCAGCACUGAAUAACCACCACACAUGAGCAUGUUCCUGCAACAUUCAGCAUCUGAUCUGCCAUCUGUGUGCUUCUGCUUUUGUGUCAAAUGUCAAACAGCUGGAGAGGAAACUACACCAGUGUACUGGGAUGUUUCACCAACACGUGCCAGAUGCUGUUCCUUCAUGGUGACAUCACCAGAGACAGCCCCGCCCACCUCAGGACCUCGCCAUUGAUCAUGAUGAUUAUAAUGAUGACAGCGAGCGGAA